rnacentral:rRNA from 1 species
GACGAACGCUGGCGGCGCGCUUAAUACAUGCAAGUCGAGCGACGAAAGGGCCUUCGGGCCCCUGAAAGCGGCGAACGGGUGAGUAACACGUGGGUAACCCACCCUCGGUUUCGGGAUAGCCCGGGGAAACUCGGAUUAAUACCGAAUGGCCUCCAGGGUCUCCGGGUCCUGGAGAAAAGGUAGCUUCGGCCUCCGACCGAGGACGGGCCCGCGGCCGAUUAGCUUGUUGGCGGGGUAACGGCCCACCAAGGCGACGAUCGGUAGCUGGCUGAGAGGACGGUCAGCCACACUGGGACUGAGACACGGCCCAGACUCCUACGGGAGGCAGCAGUAGGGAAUCUUGCGCAAUGGGCGAAAGCCUGACGCAGCGACGCCGCGUGCGGGACGAA